GGGUCACUGGCAGACACAACUGACUUUUUCUGAAACUUUUGGGUGUCCUUUUGCUGUUCAGAAUUAGCCUGUGGGGACAUAGUUAUAAACAUCAUUAAUAUUAUCUCAUCUUCAUCCAGGUUAAGAGACAAGAAGAUUACUUGAGAAUAGAAAGAUUGCAAGCGUUUUUUGUUCAUUAAUAUUACUGCUCUAUGCAGCUGCUUAGUUAUAUACCAUUGACGUGAAUCAAAUAAUGUUUUGUCCGAAGGCUUUCUGUUUUUCUGCCAAAGGAUAUAUUUGAACUCAGGCUUCACCGAGAUGGAUAGGAACCUAUUGCAUUAUUAGUGGUAGGAACCUGUCCUUAAACUUGUAUACCAAGUAAACCCAAGUAAAAAAUCAAGUAUUUUAAAUUCAGGUUCUCUAUAGUAAAGUGCUGAUCGCCAUUUGCAGUUAAUCGUGGCUAAAGAUUCACCUAAAGAAAAUGAUUAGCACCUAUAGUGGAAAUGGAUUUCUAUACAAAGUUCUCAUUUGACACAUGUAUUGGUCUCUAACUAAAGGAUAACAGAGGUGGGCCUGAUUUACUUUACAAAAUAUACAUCCAGUGCAUUUCCACUCAUUUAUCCGUUUCAUCUUUUUAUCGUUAUAUUGGACUGUUUUUUUAAUAAAAAUUUGUAAAAUGUAUGAUUUCACAUACAGUUGCCUGAACUCAUAUGUGGAACACAGAUUUUUUUUAAGGGUG
rnacentral:lncRNA from 1 species